rnacentral:rRNA from 1 species
UACGGAGGGUGCAAGCGUUUAUCCGGAUUCACUGGGUUUAAAGGGUGCGUAGGUGGGCAGGUAAGUCAGUGGUGAAAUCUUUGGGCUUAACCCGAAAACUGCCGUUGAUACUAUCUGUCUUGAAUAUAGUGGAGGUGAGCGGAAUAUGUCAUGUAGCGGUGAAAUGCUUAGAUAUGACAUAGAACACCCAUUGCGAAGGCAGCUCGCUACACUAUUAUUGACACUGAGGCACGAAAGCGUGGGGAUCAAACAGG